AACGAACGCUGGCGGCAUGCCUAACACAUGCAAGUCGAACGAGACCUUCGGGUCUAGUGGCGCACGGGUGCGUAACGCGUGGGAAUCUACCCUUCGGUUCGGAAUAACUCAGGGAAACUUGAGCUAAUACCGGAUAAUGACGUAAGUCCAAAGAUUUAUCGCCGAAGGAUGAGCCCGCGUAAGAUUAGCUAGUUGGUGGGUAAAGGCCUACCAAGGCUACGAUCUUUAGCUGGUCUGAGAGGAUGAUCAGCCACACUGGGACUGAGACACGGCCCAGACUCCUACGGGAGGCAGCAGUGGGGAAUAUUGGACAAUGGGCGAAAGCCUGAUCCAGCAAUGCCGCGUGAGUGAUGAAGGCCUUAGGUUGUAAAGCUCUUCGGUUGGACGAAAAGGUUCGUGUUAACACCGCGAACUAAUGACGGUACCGACAGAAGAAGCACCGGCUAACUACGUGCCAGCCGCCGCUGUAAG
rnacentral:rRNA from 1 species